rnacentral:rRNA from 1 species
CCUACGGGUGGCAGCAGUAGGGAAUUUUCGUCAAUGGGCGCAAGCCUGAACGAGCAAUGCCGCGUGAACGAGGAAGGUCUUCGGAUCGUAAAGUUCUGUUGAAGGGGAAAAAGAGCGGAGAGAGGAAAUGAUCUCCGAUUGAUAUUACCCUUCGCGGAAGUCACGGCUAACUACGUGCCAGCAGCCGCGGUAAUACGUAGGUGGCGAGCGUUAUCCGGAAUGAGUGGGCGGAAGGGGUGCGGAGGCGGCUGGGUAAGUCUGGAGGUAAAGCUCCGGGCUCAACCUGGAGACUGCAUUGGAAACUGGGUGUCUAGAGGGCAGGAGAGGAAAGUGGAAUUCCUAGUGUAGCGGUGAAAUGCGUAGAUAUUAGGAGGAACACCAGUGGCGAAGGCGACUUUCUGGACUGUACCUGACGCUGAGGCGCGAAAGCGUGGGUAGCGAACGGGAUUAGAUACCCUUGUAGUC